UGGCGGCUGAGAGCCCCGGAGGGGCCCCGUGAGGCAACCGCAGUCGGUCCCCCUUGCACA
rnacentral:snoRNA from 1 species